rnacentral:rRNA from 1 species
UGCCCGCCACGUCGCGAUGUACGGUGUAAGACGUGUGGGUCGGGAGUGUUCCGUGAUUAUUGGGCGUAAAGCUCUGGUAGUCGGUGUGUCGCGUCGGGAGUGAAAUCCACUGGCUUAACUGGUGGCUUGCUUUCUAUACGGGCAGUCUGGAGUUAUGCAUGUGAGAACGGAAUUCCUGGUGUAGCGGUGUAACGCGCAGAUAUCAGGAGGAACACCUGUGCCGAAGGCGGUUCUCUGGGCAUGUCCUGACGCUGAGGAGCGAAAGUGUGGGGAGCGAACAGGAUUAGAUACCCCUGUAGUC